CCGGAAAGUGCCGAGGAGCUUUCGGAACCUGCGCGGGGCAUCCGCCUGUUUUGUAUCCUGUCCCGGGACCAACUUGAAGCUUGAAUGUAAGGCCCCCGGGACCGGGCUGUCUGCUCGUAGUGAACCGGCUGAUGGAGCCGUUUCUGUGGAGAGGCGCGGAAGGGGACACCGCCUGAAUUUGCAGAUCCUCUCACACACCUUACACACCAAAUAGCUCCCAUCUUCACCCACCAGUCGCCACUCCCUAAGGGCAGUGAAAAAUGGGAAAGAAGCCCUUAAAUAAGUGAACACAAGGAAAGGACAAGUCACGGCUCCACUCUAUUCGGUUUUGGCUUCUGUCGUUUAUGGUGGGCUUUCAGAGGCCACGGAGGUUCUCGCGUCUACCUCCUUUUCUGAACUUGCUCGGGUCGCCUCUAAAGUAUCUACGGCGUUCUGACCGUUUUCGAUCCAUUUUGAUACUUAUGGUUUCCCUUUUUGAGUCAAAAUCUUAUUUAAUUACUGUUCACAUUCUCUAUUUGAAAGUUCAAAUAGUUGGAUUGUUUUGUUUAUUAUUAUUUUUUUGUUUUUUAAUGAGACGAGUUGUAAAUAACCAGAUAACAUAUUUGGGUGAAUUAUUUUCGUUUCUUAGGCACCUAGACUGAGAUAAUGAAGAGCAUACUUGGUGCCACAGGUGCCUUCUGAGACAUCUAGGAUUAUUACCUCAGUAUGUAGCCAGUGGUCAAGUAGAAAAGUGGUUGGUUGCAGCUUUCUUCCUAAAUUAUAAUUUUUUUUAAAGGUUUAUUCGUUCAUGGGCAGCCUGGGUGGCUCAGCGGUUUAGUGCUGACGUCGGCCGAGGGCGUGACCCUGGAAACCCGGGAUCCGGUCCCACGUCGGGCUUCCUCCGGGGAGCCUGCUCACUCGCUCUGCCUGUGUCUCUGCCUCUUUCUCUCAGUCUGUGUAUCUCAUGAAUAAAUAGAUCUUUUUUUUUUUUUCCAAAGAUUUUACUUAUUUAUUCAUGAGAGUGUGUACACAGAAAGAGGCAGAGACAGGCAGAGGGAGUGAGCAGGCCCCCUGCAGGAAGCCCGAUGCGGACUCUCGAUCCCGGGUUCCAGGAUCACGACCUGAGCUGAAGGCAGGCGCCCCACCGCUGAGCCACCCAGGCGUCCCCUAAAUUAUAAUUUUAAGUUGAUUUUACCUUUUUUUUUAAAUACCUAUCCAACUUGCAGUUCAUCAUUUUUAAUAUAUAAAGGCUACAGAAAGAGUUGUUCCUUUAUUGAAAGGUAUAAUAUAGAAGUGUAAGGGAAAAAGCAAGGCUAAUUUCAGAGAUCUCUUCUUUUUGAAGAGAGAGAAAACUAGAAUCCAGUCCUGGGAUUGAAUGCCUUUAUUAAAGAAAUGAGUGGAUGGCAGCACAAAUCAGCGGCAAUAAUUUUGGAAUGAGGGGACAAGGUGUAAGGUCAUAAUGUGAUUGUUUCAUGGUCUCAAAGCUGAAGAACUGUGCCUGAGGCUCAUUGAUCAGUAUCAUACAUUGCAGAUGCUGGGCAAGACUAGAAUACUAAAGAAUACUAAACUCUGCCUUUUAGAAACAGAAUCAAAACCUAACAAGUUAUCGUAGUCAGAAAGAUUGCGUCUUAAGAAGUGAACUUGGAGUCAUUUUCCUCAAGAGUUUUGAGUUAUGGGCAAAAUUACAAAGUGAGUAGGCUUGAAGAAGGUACAACCUUAAAUUAAGUUUGAGCAAUUUCUAAAGCUGUUUAAAAUGAAGUAAAAAAAAAAAUCCUCCAUUUUGUACUACUGUGCUACGCUCUGGUGCCUCCACCAGGCCUGUUUUCUGAAUUAACAUCUGGGGGAGGGGGGGAAAUCCCUGUGAUCCAAUCAAUACUCCAGUCCUUGAACCCUUUCCUUUGUGGCUUAAGGGCUCUUAAGAGAAACCAGUAAGAUAAAUAAAUACAUAAGUAAAUAAAUACAACACAA